rnacentral:piRNA from 1 species
UGCUAACCCUACCCAAUUUCCUAGUUCAGA